rnacentral:rRNA from 1 species
AGUGAACGCUGGCGGCAGGCCUAAUACAUGCAAGUCGAACGGCAGCACAGCAGAGCUUGCUCUGUGGGUGGCGAGUGGCGGACGGGUGAGGAAUACGUGGGAAUCUGCCCAGUCGUGGGGGAUAACGUAGGGAAACUUACGCUAAUACCGCAUGCGCCCUUCGGGGAAAGCCCGGGGACCUUCGGGCCUGGCGCGAUUGGAUGAGCCCACGUCGGAUUAGCUAGUUGGCGGGGUAAAGGCCCACCAAGGCGACGAUCCGUAGCUGGUCUGAGAGGAUGAUCAGCCACACUGGAACUGAGACACGGUCCAGACUCCUACGGGAGGCAGCAGUAGGGAAUAUUGGACAAUGGGCGCAAGCCUGAUCCAGCCAUGCCGCGUGAGUGAAGAAGG